rnacentral:rRNA from 1 species
UAAUCUGCCUUGGAGUGGGGAAUAACGGCUGGAAACAGCCGCUAAUACCGCAUGAUACAGCUGGGAGGCAUCUCCCUGGCUGUCAAAGAUUUAUCGCUCUGAGAUGAGCUCGCGUCUGAUUAGCUAGUUGGCGGGGUAACGGCCCACCAAGGCGACGAUCAGUAGCCGGACUGAGAGGUUGGCCGGCCACAUUGGGACUGAGACACGGCCCAGACUCCUACGGGAGGCAGCAG